GGGCAAUUGCCGGGGGCACCCAGGCUGAGCCUCUGCCAGAAUUUUCUUCCGAAGUUAGAUAGUCGUCUAACUUGGCAGCUCUGCCACAGGCACUGGAGAUGCAACAGUAAACAAAUGAGAAGUGUUUGGCAUGGAGAUGAUACUCCAGUGGAAGGAGAUUUGCCUGUGGAGAUGGCACUUUCCAAAGUUGGCCACAUAUUCUUCUAGAACGUUGCCUCUUCCUCAUCAAAAGGAUGGGACUCAGACAUGCAUUCUUGGAAGGAAUAUACAGAAGUGAUGCUGUCUUCUCACUGCAUCGCAUCAGGAGGCUCGUGACGUUGACCAGUUCUACUGCUGGUUACCGAACCCAAAGCAGAUGCCUCUGGGCAGACUCAGGGUGGAUGACCAUCACUCCUUCCUAAAGGGCUUUCCUCCUGGCCCUGAGAGAAAAGCAGAAAGGAUGUGAAGGCACAGAAAUGGGCACAGUACAGGACCUAGAGCUGCAGUCUGACUUUGGAAUCCGAGCUCUUCCUUACCACACUGUACUGACACUUGUGACUCACUAUGGACCACAGGUCUGGUAAAAGAUGGACAGGAACUGGAUUCUGCCUUCUUUGAUGCCCUGGGCAGUGUUCUUUCUACCACAUCACAAUGGCUCUGUUGUCCUCUUUCAGCAUCUGAAGGUAAUAAUACAGGUGAAAACUUAAAAAAAAAAAAAAAAAGAGAAAGACAAGUUACACUCAGUUCUUUGAGGAGAAAAAAAAGUAUUGGCAAGAUGAAUGAGGGUAUGAUGAACUGGGAGAUUGGGAUUGACAUAUAUA